ACAGCUCAUCACAGGGCGGUGGUCACCGACUGACCACUCUCACACCAAACGAGCUAUAUAAGAGCUGAUGUCAUCUUCUGCAGCAACACAAAAAGAACAUUUCGAUGGAGAAAUUUGCUCAAGAUAUGAAGGAUCUGUUUCUCAGCAUACUUGAAGCUAUCAAAGGAAGCAAAUUAUCAUCUGCAGGAAAUGAAGAUGAAGAAGAAGCGGAGUCUGAAUCUAUGGAGGAAGUAAUUGUAGAAGAGAGAGCUCUCAAGGACGUCAAAGGUCCGACACGCCCUACUCCACCCAAAGGUCCCCCUCCGCAGACAGAUUGAACAAUUUUAUUUCCCUUUUGUAAAAAUUUUUAGAAAAUUAUUUAUUGCGUUUAGAUUUAUUUCAAUGAAAUGAAUAGAGUUUUCGGAUUUCUUACUCUAA